GAUGAACGCUGGCGGCGUGCCUAAUACAUGCAAGUCGAGCGAACAGACGAGGAGCUUGCUCCUCUGACGUUAGCGGCGGACGGGUGAGUAACACGUGGAUAACCUACCUAUAAGACUGGGAUAACUUCGGGAAACCGGAGCUAAUACCGGAUAAUAUCUUGAACCGCAUGGUUCAAUAGUGAAAGACGGUUUUGCUGUCACUUAUAGAUGGUUCCGCGCCGCAUUAGCUAGUUGGUAAGGUAACGGCUUACCAAGGCAACGAUGCGUAGCCGACCUGAGAGGGUGAUCGGCCACACUGGAACUGAGCCACGGUCCAGACUCCUACGGGAGGCAGCAGUAGGGAAUCUUCCGCAAUGGGCGAAAGCCUGACGGAGCAACGCCGCGUGAGUGAUGAAGGUCUUCGGAUCGUAAAACUCUGUUAUUAGGGAAGAACAAAUGUGUAAGUAACUAUGCACGUCUUGACGGUACCUAAUCAGAAAGCCACGGCUAACUACGUG
rnacentral:rRNA from 1 species